UACGUAGGCAGCAAGCGUUGUUCGGAAUUACUGGGCGUAAAGAGUGUGUAGGCGGUUCUCUAUGUUCGGUGUGAAAUCUCCCGGCUUAACUGGGAGGGUGCGCCGAAAACUGGAGGGCUUGAGUAUGGGAGAGGAAAGCGGAAUUCCUGGUGUAGCGGUGAAAUGCGUAGAUAUCGGGAGGAACACCUGUGGCGAAAGCGGCUCACUGGACCAUUACUGACGCUGAUGCACGAAAGCUAGGGGAGCAAACAG
rnacentral:rRNA from 1 species